rnacentral:rRNA from 1 species
UACGUAGGGUGCAAGCGUUGUCCGGAAUUAUUGGGCGUAAAGAGCUCGUAGGCGGUCUGUCGCGUCUGCUGUGAAAACUCGGGGCUUAACCCCGGGCCUGCAGUGGGUACGGGCAGACUAGAGUGCGGUAGGGGAGACUGGAAUUCCUGGUGUAGCGGUGAAAUGCGCAGAUAUCAAGAGGAACACCUGCGGCGAAGGCGGGUUGCUGGGCCGACACUGACGCUGAGGCGCGAAAGCGUGGGGAGCAAACAGG